UACGUAGGGGGCGAGCGUUGUCCGGAGUUACUGGGCGUAAAGGGCAUGCAGGCGGUCCGACACGUUUUGUGUGACAGCGGGUGGUUUAACUACCCGAGGAUACGAAAGACGGUUGGACUUGAGGACUCGAGAGGGACACGGAAUUCCGGGUGGAGUGGUGAAAUGCGUAGAGAUCCGGAGGAACACCGAAGGCGAAGGCAGUGUCCUGGCGAGUGACUGACGCUGAGGUGCGAAAGCCAGGGGAGCGAACGGG
rnacentral:rRNA from 1 species